rnacentral:misc_RNA from 1 species
UUUCCGUAGGUGAACCUGCGGAAGGAUCAUUAAUGAGUUGCCAUGGGGUUCGAUGCUGGCAGCCAGUUUUUGGAUGCAUGUGCUUGCCCUAACAAUCAUCUUCUCCCAAACGCCUGUGCACAUUUUUGAGGGAGUCUUGAGUUGGUUGCCGCUCUUGGGUGAUUUUCUCACAUUCCCUUAAAUCAUUAUACGCUAUUAACAAUGUUGAACGUGCUCUGUGCCGCAAGGCCAUUAAUAUAAUACAACUUUUAACAACGGAUCUCUUGGCUCUCGCAUCGAUGAAGAACGCGC